UAACGGGGGGCUGCAGUGGGGAAUUUUGCGCAAUGGGCGAAAGCCUGACGCAGCAAUACCGCGUGAGUGAAGAAGGCCUUUGGGUCGUAAAGCUCUUUUGUAAGGGAAGAUAGUGACGGUACCUUACGAAUAAGCACCGGCUAACUCCGUGGCCAGCAGCCGCGGUAAUACGGAGGGUGCAAGCGUUGUUCGGAUUUACUGGGCGUAAAGGGCACGUAGGCGGCAUAGUAAGUUAAGGGUGAAAUCCCGGGGCUCAACUCCGGAACUGCUCUUAAAACUGCUAAGCUAGAGAUAGUCAGAGGCGGGUAGAAUUCCUGGUGUAGAGGUGAAAUUCGUAGAUAUCAGGAGGAAUACCGGCGGCGAAGGCGGCCCGCUGGGGCUAUUCUGACGCUAAGGUGCGAAAGCGUGGGGAGCAAACGGGAUUAGAUACCCGGGUAGUC
rnacentral:rRNA from 1 species